GUAAAAUUCCGUACACCCCUGAUUACACCAAGAUAACGAAUUUAUUUCUUAUGAACAAUUCUUUUACUCAUUUUGAAACCAGGAUGUAAAAUUGUAAAAAUGGUAAUGAAAAAUUUCCAGCGUAAUAUUUUUUCAAUGUCUAUGUUGCUGCACAUUGUCAAAUACUUUUUUACUUUAUUUUUAGCAAAAGUCAGAAUUUUUUUUGUGUGUUUUGAGUUUACAAAAAAAAAAACAAAAAAACAAAAUAUUUUUUAAGAAAUUUUAAUUUUUAUUUUGGCAAUUUUUUUUUUUUUUUACUUUUUUUUUUUUUUUUGCAAAAUUUCAUUUUUAUAAAAAUUUUGGCAAAAUUUUAUUUAUCCCCGGGUGAACAAGGGUGGGGUGUUAUUUACACCGGGGUAGUCAACCAAUCAGAUUGCAGUAUUUUUGCUGCAUAAUAAAUAAAUCGAUUUAC
rnacentral:lncRNA from 1 species